rnacentral:rRNA from 1 species
GAUCUGGUUCAGGAUGAACGCUGGCGGCGUGCUUAACACAUGCAAGUCGAACGGAGUUUAGAUGAAGCUUGCGAUUCUAAACUUAGUGGCGGACGGGUGAGUAACGCGUGGGUAACCUGCCUUAUACCGGGGGAUAACACUUAGAAAUAGGUGCUAAUACCGCAUAAGCGCACGGAGCUGCAUGGCUCAGUGUGAAAAACUCCGGUGGUAUAAGAUGGACCCGCGUCUGAUUAGCUAGUUGGUGAGGUAAUGGCCCACCAAGGCGACGAUCAGUAGCCGGCCUGAGAGGGUGAACGGCCACAUUGGACUGAGACACGGCCCAAACUCCUACGGGAGGCAGCAGUGGGGAAUAUUGGACAAUGGGGGAAACCCUGAUCCAGCCGACGCCGCGUGAGUGAAGAAGUAUUUCGGUAUGUAAAGCUCUAUCAGCAGGGAAGAUAAUGACGGUACCUGACUAAGAAGCCCCGGCUAACUACGUGCCAGCAGCUGC